GCGAGGGGAGUGAAAAAGAACCUGAAACCGUGUACGUACAAGCAGUGGGAGCCCCACCACUAAGCCAGUGGUGAACUCCACAUACGCAUCCUUUGCUGAGGAUACGGUUAACGGAGCGAAAGCGACGUUCAACCGCAAAAGAAGCAGAGGGGGCUUAGUGGUGGGGUGACUGCGUACCUUUUGUAUAAUGGGUCAGCGACUUAUAUUCUGUAGCAAGGUUAACCGAAUAGGGGAGCCGGAGGGAAACCGAGUCUUAAUUGGGCGUUAAGUUGCAGGGUAUAGACCCGAAACCCGGUGAUCUAGCCAUGGGCAGGUUGAAGGUUGGGUAACACUAACUGGAGGACCGAACCGACUAAUGUUGAAAAAUUAGCGGAUGACCUGUGGCUGGGGGUGAAAGGCCAAUCAAACCGGGAGAUAGCUGGUUCUCCCCGAAAGCUAUUUAGGUAGCGCCUCGUGAAUUCAUCUCCGGGGGUAGAGCACUGUUUCGGCUAGGGGGCCAUCCCGGCUUACCAACCCGAUGCAAACUGCGAAUACCGGAGAAUGUUAUCACGGGAGACACACGGCGGGUGCUAACGUCCGUCGUGAAGAGGGAAACAACCCAGACCGCCAGCUAAGGUCCCAAAGUCAUGGUUAAGUGGGAAACGAUGUGGGAAGGCCCAGACAGCCAGGAUGUUGGCUUAGAAGCAGCCAUCAUUUAAAGAAAGCGUAAUAGCUCACUGGUCGAGUCGGCCUGCGCGGAAGAUGUAACGGGGCUAAACCAUGCACCGAAGCUGCGGCAGCGACGCUGAUGCGUUGUUGGGUAGGGGAGCGUUCUGUAAGCCUGUGAAGGUGGCCUGUGAGGGUUGCUGGAGGUAUCAGAAGUGCGAAUGCUGACAUAAGUAACGAUAAAGCGGGUGAAAAGCCCGCUCGCCGGAAGACCAAGGGUUCCUGUCCAACGUUAAUCGGGGCAGGGUGAGUCGACCCCUAAGGCGAGGCCGAAAGGCGUAGUCGAUGGGAAACGGGUUAAUAUUCCCGUACUUGGUGUUACUGCGAAGGGGGGACGGAGAAGGCUAUGUUGGCCGGGCGACGGUUGUCCCGGUUUAAGCGUGUAGGUGUGUGUUCCAGGUAAAUCCGGUUCACUUUAACACUGAGGCGUGAUGACGAGGCACUACGGUGCUGAAGCAACAAAUGCCCUGCUUCCAGGAAAAGCCUCUAAGCAUCAGGUAACAUCAAAUCGUACCCCAAACCGACACAGGUGGUCAGGUAGAGAAUACCAAGGCGCUUGAGAGAACUCGGGUGAAGGAACUAGGCAAAAUGGUGCCGUAACUUCGGGAGAAGGCACGCUGACAUGUAGGUGAAGUGAUUUACUCACGGAGCUGAAGUCAGUCGAAGAUACCAGCUGGCUGCAACUGUUUAUUAAAAACACAGCACUGUGCAAACACGAAAGUGGACGUAUACGGUGUGACGCCUGCCCGGUGCCGGAAGGUUAAUUGAUGGGGUCAGCGCAAGCGAAGCUCCUGAUCGAAGCCCCGGUAAACGGCGGCCGUAACUAUAACGGUCCUAAGGUAGCGAAAUUCCUUGUCGGGUAAGUUCCGACCUGCACGAAUGGCGUAAUGAUGGCCAGGCUGUCUCCACCCGAGACUCAGUGAAAUUGAACUCGCUGUGAAGAUGCAGUGUACCCGCGGCAAGACGGAAAGACCCCGUGAACCUUUACUAUAGCUUGACACUGAACAUUGAGCCUUGAUGUGUAGGAUAGGUGGGAGGCUUUGAAGUGUGGACGCCAGUCUG
rnacentral:rRNA from 1 species